AUUGAGAGGGUGGCCUAAAAUUAAGUCCAUACCGGACAAUAUUCAAGUCUUGACUGCCCUUGAAAGUCUCUUCAUAUCUCACUUUGAAGGCAUGGAAACUUUGCCUGAGUGGUUGACCAAGCUCUCUUCUCUUCAAAUUCUGGAAAUCUUUCGUUGCUCCAAGUUAAAGGAAAGUUGUGCAAUUGGUGGAAAAGAGCAGUACAAAAUUGCCCAUAUUCCAGAUAUCAGAAUCUAUUAAGCGAACAAGCGAAACGAAUGGUUUCAUACAAGACCUGCGUACUAUACUUAAGUGGAUCAUGGGUUAACAUUUUCUCUCCUCAAGAGCUCCAAUUCCCCUACUAAAGAGAUGUUCUCUGGUGUUAGCCAAGUGGAAGGUUUCUUAAAUUGGUCAAGAAUUUUUUUAGAAGUUAUUGCCAACGUGAUGCUCACUUUACAGCAAAAGCUGGAUAUUGCUUAUUGUUGUUGCUGCCAGAGUGGCUAACAAUUGCACACAGUCUAGUGGGGGUGUCAAUUUGAUUCCUAUCUGGUUGGAGUUCAUUAAAAUUUUGAUGCAAGGACCUUACUUAUCUCCCUAAAGUGGAUUUCAUGCAUUUGAUCACCAAAUUGCUAUGUCUAUCUGUUCAUAACUGUCUCAAAGUUAAAUAAAUAGAUGUGUUGAGGGCGAUGACACAUAUAUAUUGUUACAACAGUAUGUGUGGUGCUAGUGACAACAUAUAUAUUGUAUUCAGCUGGAAGAACAAUUUGACUAAUUCAAUGGAGUUUAGUAGAAGUUCUUUAAAGUUGAAGAGAAGGGAAGAUUCUACUUAGGAGCAGCAUAUGACAAUCAUGAUUCCCUAAAGCUGAUGCAUGUGCUCCCUCACCACAUUAUGCAAUAUAUUAGAUAUUUUAUUGUCCAAGAUUUUCAUCAUUAAAAGGAAGGAUGAGUUGAAGGUAAUGCCCCAGGUUUUCCAAGAUUGUCAUCUAAAACAGUUUGACUGUUAUGUCAUCCACCUAGUAGCAUCUUGAAGCUUAUGUGAUAUCAGAAAAAGCUGGUGGCAUAAUGUGCCGGUAGGAAGACUUGGUUCUUGAAUUUCAACCAAGGUCCGCUAAUGCGUGAACAGUGAAAAGAAGGAAUAAGAUAUUUCCUGCUGAACUCAGUCAUGGCGGUAAGGAUAGGAACAAUUAGAUUUCUUCCCCUACUUAUUACAAAUUCCAGGACCUACAAAAUUUUGAGGUGAAUUUGUAAGUUUAGAUGUCAUUUUAUCUUUAUUAUAUUGAUACCCAUUUAUAUCAUCAGUUUGAGUCAUUAAUAUUGAUUGUGUUGGGGUGGAGAAGCUCUGUAUCUCUUCAAGAAAUGAAUUCCAGGGACAAGAAUGCCCCUACCUUCCAGUAAAGAUGGAGUGCAAUCCCUCGCUUUGGACAUGUAAUUAAGUGGAAGGUUCGACACAGUAGUUGAAGGUUUAUUUUAACUUAUACACUUGUGAAGCCCUAGCUUACAGUCAAAACUACUGUUCACUUUGAAAAGGAGAGAGAACUAGUCAGAGUGGACCAGGGAUAAAAGAUUGUUCACUUUGAAUCACAAUAGAUGGACUUUUAAAUUGAUUUCAUUGCUUCUUUGUUAUUCACUAAAAUUUUGGCAAAUUGACAGCAGUGGGGAGUUUGAUGACUCUGUGCGAGUUAUAUGGAAUUCUUCAAGGUUGCACACAAGUCAAACAUUAUGUGGGUGGUGACCAAUGCUCAAGUUGCUGGCUCAUCUUUUUGAACAAGUAUGCAACUUGCAAGAAGCUGAGAUUUCUAUCGACAGGGGGAAGGAUGUGGUACCUUACUAACUAGUAGAUGCUGGAAAUACUUAAUUUCCCAAUUAGAGUUCUUGUACUUCAGCAUAGAUAAUUUAAGAUUGUCAACUAGAACCAUAACUUGUAUGUAUCUACAAUUGUUGAUUGGGUAUAUUCAGUAUCACCAUCGACAAUGCAUCAAGUUCUGACAAUUCAUCCCCUUUUCAAAUCUUCAGUAUGACUCCCUAACUUAAAGUUGCUGUAGCAGUGACUUCAACACUUUUCAAGAUUCUGAGAUUUGUGUAAGAAAUUGAAGAGCCCAAUUAGGAAAACAAAUUGAAACUCGAAUUUGAUGCAUUUUUUCCUGAGAUCAAGUUAUGGAUUUUGGAUUCUAUGGUCAGUCCACAAUCCAUGGAUGCUGAAGGAAUCCAUGGUGUGAUCUCGUAGUUCCUACAAGCUGGCACCAGGUUGUUGACAACCAACAAUAUAAUGUGAGGCUUAGCUUUUACACCAUAGUUACUUCCAUUUCCUAUCUAUAUACUAAGCAGUGGAUCAUUUUUACUGAACAGAAUUCGUAAUAGUUCAUCCACCUAUCAAAUCUUAUGUUGUUAUCAUGGCCUCAUAGAGCCCUUUGUUCCAGUGACUUCAACAUUUUACUGUACAUUGAGUCUUCUCUUUUCAUCAGCCUUGUUGUCCUAACUUAAGAGGCCAACUUGUUUGGGUGCCCCAGUUCAUACAAAUGUUCAUGAUGAUAUUUCCAUAAAGUUAGUAGAUAAGGGGAAAAGAGCGAGAUGCACAACAGUGGUUGAACUAGAAGGCAUUCUUACAUUGUUUGACUCUCCUGAGUAGCUCCAUAUAUGCAUGACCAUGCUGGCUUCUUUGAAUUGAACUUCUUAUAAAUUGGUUCUACUCAGUGUUACACAGGCCAUCAAACAAUAAAGCCAUUCCAAACAUGUUCUGCUGUCUCACUUUCAGCUUUGACAUCAUCAACCAUCGUUGAAACUUGCUCUAAACUAGAGCUUGUCCUUAGCAAGAAAGAACUGGAGUUCUCAAGAUUACAUGCCAAGUAUAUGGAUCAUGAUCAAAAGCUUUUACAGUGCUUCUCCCUUUUAUUAAUAUUGAGAAAUUUGUCCUCAGAUGAUCUUAGUUUUCAUAGUAGGUCAUUGUAUGUAAAUAACGUUGAUCAGGCAUACUUUGUUUUGUACUUGUAAUCAUUUUCAAGUUGUUUUUCAUUUUCAAAUUGUGUUUCUUGUUAGACUAUAAAAGGGCCAAUUAAC